rnacentral:rRNA from 1 species
GAUGAACGCUGGCGGCGUGCUUAACACAUGCAAGUCGAACGGGAAUUACUUUAUUGAAGCUUCGGUCGAUUUAAUUUAAUUCUAGUGGCGGACGGGUGAGUAACGCGUGGGUAACCUGCCUUAUACAGGGGGAUAACAGUCAGAAAUGGCUGCUAAUACCGCAUAAGCGCACAGAGCUGCAUGGCUCAGUGUGAAAAACUCCGGUGGUAUAAGAUGGACCCGCGUUGGAUUAGCUGGUUGGUGGGGUAACGGCCUACCAAGGCAACGAUCAGUAGCCGGUCUGAGAGGAUGAACGGCCACAUUGGAACUGAGACACGGUCCAG